UACGUAGGGUGCGAGCGUUGUCCGGAAUUAUUGGGCGUAAAGGGCUCGUAGGCGGUUUGUCGCGUCGGGAGUGAAAACUCAGGGCUUAACCCUGAGCCUGCUUCCGAUACGGGCAGACUAGAGGUAUGCAGGGGAGAACGGAAUUCCUGGUGUAGCGGUGAAAUGCGCAGAUAUCAGGAGGAACACCAGCGGCGAAGGCGGCGCUCUGGGCCGGAACUGACGCUGAGGAGCGAAAGCGUGGGUAGCAAACAGG
rnacentral:rRNA from 1 species